rnacentral:tRNA from 1 species
GGAAGCUUAGCUCAGUUGGGAGAGCAUCUGCCUUACAAGCAGAGGGUCAUAGGUUCGAGCCCUAUAGCUUCCACCA